AUAUAUAUAUAUACCUCUGUCAACUCCUUGGAAAUAAAUGUCUUCAGGUUAGUUUGAUAAAGUAAGAUACCAAAAUACAAAAUUGUAAACACACUCAUCAUAAAUAACCGUGGACAUGUUCACGGGACUUUCAUUAGGACUAAUCUCAAAUAUCCGUUGAAUAUUGUGACGUGACAUUUAUAUACCGUAUGGAAUAGGAGUAAACCAUUUACAAUGAGUAAUGUAAGUAAUGAAAAUAAAAUGUUCAAAAGCUAAUUUUUACCUUUUAACAUAAAGAUAAACCUAUACAAUAGUUUGUGGGUAGACGAUGAACAUUUCACAUUAAAUUAUAUUUCUUUUUGUAUGAAUGUGGAAAUGAGUUUUGAUACAAUGACACUACAACCCAAAGGUGAAUGAUGAAUAAAAAUAUGGUCACUACAGGUCUUCUUCCGAUCGGCAGUAAAACCCUUGCGAAAGUGGGGCGUCCGUUUGGUUGUGCGGGCUGUACAAGUAAGCAGCAAUGUCCAGUCAGAAUUGGUACGUUAAAUCCAAUGCUUCGUUUACAGUAUAUGCCACGUUUUCUGCAUUUUGAGACGCUUUGCAAAAACUCUUUGAGAUGUCAGAAGGUAUGCUCAUCCAAUUAACCCUCAUUUUCAAGUUGAAAUCUAAAUUUCCCCAAACUUUAUUCAAAAC
rnacentral:lncRNA from 1 species